rnacentral:rRNA from 1 species
AAGAGUUUGAUCAUGGCUCAGAACGAACGCUGGCGGCAUGCCUAACACAUGCAAGUCGAACGAGACCUUCGGGUCUAGUGGCGCACGGGUGCGUAACGCGUGGGAACCUGCCUUUAGGUUCGGAAUAGCUCAGGGAAACUUGGGGUAAUACCGGAUACGCCCUUACGGGGAAAGAUUUAUCGCCGUUAGAUGGGCCCGCGUAGGAUUAGCUAGUUGGUGAGGUAAUGGCUCACCAAGGCGACGAUCCUUAGCUGGUCUGAGAGGAUGAUCAGCCACACUGGGACUGAGGCACGGCCCAGACUCCUACGGGAGGCAGCAGUGGGGAAUAUUGGACAAUGGGCGCAAGCCUGAUCCAGCCAUGCCGCGUGAGUGACGAAGGCCUUAGGGUUGUAAAGCUCUUUUGGCGGGGAAGAUAAUGACGGUACCCGCAGAAUAAGCUCCGGCUAACUUCGUG